rnacentral:rRNA from 1 species
CGACGUGAGGAACCUGCCUCAAAGAGGGGGACAACAGUUGGAGACGACUGCUAAUACCGCAUAAGCCCACAGCUCGGCAUCGAGCAGAGGGAAAAGGAGUGAUCCGCUUUGAGAUGGCCUCGCGUCCGAUUAGCUAGUUGGUGAGGUAAUGGCCCACCAAGGCGACGAUCGGUAGCCGGACUGAGAGGUUGAACGGCCACAUUGGGACUGAGACACGGCCCAG